CGCUGUGCUGCUCCCUGUCGCCCGCGAGGAGGCCAGAUGAGGCACUCCAUAUAACUUUUUCCCCAUCGCAGAGAGCCGCCGUCGCAGACUCUUGGCUGGGAUCCGGCCACCACAGAUUGUCCAGUCUCUCCACCGGCUGGAGGUCGCUGCUGCCCUCCGCUUGGUCCCCAACCUGGUCGUCGCCUCCCUGCUGGAGUAAACAAACACCACAGCGGCUCCCACGCGCCUGGCGAGCGUCUCAUGGGCAUGGUGCAAGACUGCAAGAAACCAGAAGAACAGCCGAGCCCAAGUUGAAAAGAAUAGCGAACAACAGGUAUGUAAUGUAAAGAAGUUUAUGCUUGAUGCAUCAUAUUACAAUAACUGAUAUUAACAUUGAUAUAUCAUAAAUCAUAGGAAAUCAUAUUGGGUGUAUUGUGUUCUACCUUCAAUUUAUAGAAUGACAACUACACAUAUUUCCUUU